AUCCUCCUCCGAGCAUUGAAAGUUUAAGUAGAAUAAAAAGGAUGCCGUAUGUAUUUCCUCAAGGCCAAAACUCAGUACAUCAUGGUCAUCCUCCUCCAGAAAUUGAACGCUUGAUUGGAAUUGAAAGGAUAACUCAAGAAUAAAGUUGUUACCAUGCAAGAAUACCAUUUACAUGCUAGAAUGUUCUAAUGCAAGACAACUAUAUAGU
rnacentral:lncRNA from 1 species